rnacentral:lncRNA from 1 species
UAAGCAACUAAAACAAAUAUCACAACCUUUGAAGAAUGACCAAAAAACAUAGAUUGAAACAUAUGACAACAGCCACAUCCUCAGAAAAGAAAUGAACAAAUAAGCUUUUUGCAAGGAGUCUCUCGUGCAUUCCAUGCAUAGUACCCAAUUAUUUCUCUUGCUUUCAAGAUAAAUCAUGUUUCCUUACUAUGUUUAUUCUUGAUAUUACAUAUCUUUAAUUAUUUAGUUGUUUUGUUG